rnacentral:tRNA from 1 species
GGGCGCUUAGCUCAGCCUGGUUCAGAGCACCUGCCUUACAAGCAGGGGGUCGGCGGUUCGAAUCCGUCAGCGCCCA